rnacentral:rRNA from 1 species
GACGAACGCUGGCGGCGUGCCUAAUACAUGCAAGUAGGACGCAGUUGCGAACGGGUGAGUAACGCGUAGGUAACUACCUAUUAGAGGGGGAUAACUAUUGGAAACGAUAGCUAAUACCGCAUACUAGUAGAUGGACCUGCGUUGUAUUAGCUAGUAGGUAGGGUAAUGGCCUACCUAGGCACCGAUACAUAGCCGACCCGGGAGGGGGGACGGGCACACGGGGAAUGGGGCACGGCCCCGAAUCCUGAGGGAGGCAGCAGUAGGGAAUCUUCGGCAAUGGGGGGAACCCUGACCGAGCAACGCCGGGUGAGUGAAGAAGGGUUUCGGAUCGUAAAGCUCUGUUGUUAAGGAAGCGGUACUUAACCAGAAAGGGACGGCUAACUACGUGCCAGCAGCCGCGGUAAUAC